AAAAUGCUGCUGAAUGAGAAGUGAACAAGACAACUGUAAAAGAUUUGGGAGGCCGGACGCGAUGGUUCACGCCUAUAAUCCCAGCACCGGGAGGCUGAGGUGAGAGGAUUGCUUGAGCCCAAGAGUUUGAGACCAGUCUGGGCAACAUGAUGAAACCCCGUCUCUAUAGAAAAAAUACAAAAAUUAGUGGGCGUGGUGGCCUGUAGUCCCAGCCACCUGGGAGGCUGCGGUGGGGGCAGGGGCGGCGGGGGGGAAGUGGGGGGAGUGGUGGAGGCUGCAGUGAACCAAGAUCUAGCCGCUGCACUCCAGCCUGGGUGACAGAGUGAAACUCUGUCUCAAAAAAGAGAGAAAGAGAGAGGGAGGGAGGGAGAGAGGAAGAGGGAAGGUGGGUGUGGAGAGGGAGAGAGACAGAGAACGGAACAACUGAAGAUUUUUGGUUGGUUUAUGUAAGGAAAAUGGAGGGGAACACCGAUACAGGUUUCUCUGUAAGGUAGAGCCUUAGCCCAGGGUCAUUGUCGAAUGUGUUUUACGUUGGCAUACAACAUUUAAGGGAUGGAUGCCAUUUUUAUUAUUUCUCCUUUCAAUGAACUUUUCCAAUUGUCUAACCAGAUGUGGAUUACAGUGGUUUCAUAUAAGAGGAUUUCUAAAUCAGGAUUACAGAGCAAAACCCUCCAGGGGUGCGUGACAGGUUGGGAGCUGUGGUGGGUCCAGGCAGAAAUGGCUUCCCUGGGAAGUUGCGGAAGAGGCGUCUCUGGAGACGUGCUUCGUGAGGAGAGAAGCUGAAGUGUUGCAAACAACACUGGUUGGGUUGUUUCCUGUCAGUUAUGGAGUGAUGAGGUCACGCACUUCAUUCUGGCCAGUCAUUAAUAUGAUUUGGCAUUCUCUGCAUGCCAGGCAAGAGUGACUGCUCUUCAGGCCAGAUCUUCCUUCGAGAUGGAUGUUAUCUCCUUUUUAGGAAGGAGGAAACAGAGAGACCUCGUAACUUGGCAUGGCCACACAAUGGGAAUAAACUGAGUGACCAAGAGGCUGAAUAUCUUCUCCAAAGCCAAAGAACCAGGCAGUGGCAGAGAUCCAAACCCAAGCGAUUUGGGUGCCAGGGCUCAAGCACUUCCCCAUGCAGCCACUGCCUCGAGAAAUAAAAAGACUCACCAGACACUU
rnacentral:lncRNA from 1 species